rnacentral:rRNA from 1 species
GAUGAACGCUGGCGGCGUGCCUAAUACAUGCAAGUCGAGCGAAUGGAUUAAGAGCUUGCUCUUAUGAAGUUAGCGGCGGACGGGUGAGUAACACGUGGGUAACCUGCCCAUAAGACUGGGAUAACUCCGGGAACCCGGGGCUAAUACCGGAUAACAUUUUGAACCGCAUGGUUCGAAAGUGAAAGGCGGCUUGGGCUGUCACUUAUGGAUGGACCCGCGUCGCAUUAGCUAGGUGGUGGGGUAACGGGUCACCAAGGCAACGAUGCGUAGCCGACCUGAGAGGGUGAUCGGCCACACUGGGACUGGGAAACGGCCCAGACUCCUACGGGAGGCAGCAGUAGGGAAUCUUCCGCAAUGGACGAAAGUCUGACGGAGCAACGCCGCGUGAGUGAUGAAGGCUUUCGGGUCGUAAAACUCUGUUGUUAGGGAAGAACAAGUGCUAGUUGAAUAAGCUGACACCUUGACGGUACCUAACCAGAAAGCCACGGCUAACUACGUGCCAGCCGCCGCAGUAA